UGCUGGGGGAUAACCUCGCGAAAGUGAGAACAAUACCCCAUGGGUCACUAUGCCUGGAACGGUUAGUGGCUGAAAGCUCCGGCGGCACAGGAUGGGUCUGCGGCGUAUCAGGUCGUAGGGGGUGUAACGUACCUCCUAGCCUUCGACGCGUACGGGUUGUGAGAGCAAUUGCCCGGAGAUGGAUUCUGAGACACGAAUCCAGGCCCUACGGGGCGCAGCAGGCGCGAAAACUUGACAAUGCGAGAAAUCGUGAUCAGGGGACUCCAGUUGGCUGGAUCAAAAGUCCAGUCUGAACCGACUUUAAAUCGGUCGGGUAAUAGGGGCGGGAAAGACCGGUGCCAGCCGCCGCGGUAAUACCGGCGCCCCAAGUGGUCGUCACUAUUAUUGGGCCUAAAACGUCCGUAGCCGGUUUGGUAAAUCCGUGGGUAAAUCAGACAGCCUAACUGUCUGAAUUCUGCGGGGACUGCCAGACUUGAGACCGGGAGAGGUGCGGGGUACUUGCGGGGUACCGGUAAAAUGGGAUCAUCCCGUAGAGACCACCUGUUGCGAAGGCGCCGCACUAGAACGGAUCUGACGGUCAGGGACGAAGCCUAGGGGCACGAACCGGAUUAGAUACCCGGGUAGUCCUAGGUGUAAACGCUGUGGACUUGGUGUCGGGGACCUUCUGAGGGUUUCCGGUGCCGGAGUGAAGAUGUUAAGUCCACUGCCUGGGGAGUACGUCGCAAGGCUGAAACUUAAAGGAAUUGGCGGGGGAGCACCGCA
rnacentral:rRNA from 1 species